rnacentral:rRNA from 1 species
UGCCAGCAGCCGCGGUAAUACGGAGGGGGUUAGCGUUGUUCGGAAUUACUGGGCGUAAAGCGCACGUAGGCGGACUAGUAAGUAAGAGGUGAAAUCCCAGGGCUCAACCCUGGAACUGCGUUUGAAACUGUAAGACUAGAGUGUGUCAGAGGGGGGUAGAAUUCCAUGUGUAGCAGUGAAAUGCGUAGAUAUAUGGAGGAAUACCAAUGGCGAAGGCAGCCCCCUGGGAUAACACUGACGCUCAUGCACGAAAGCGUGGGGAGCAAACAGGAUUAGAUA